rnacentral:rRNA from 1 species
CUAGCCGUAAACGAUGGAUACUAGGCGUUGAGAGGAUCGACCCUCGCAGUGCCGUAGCUAACGCGUUAAGUAUCCCGCCUGGGGAGUACGCGCGCAAGCGUGAAACUCAAAGGAAUUGACGGGGGCCCGCACAAGCGGUGGAGUAUGUGGUUUAAUUCGAUGCAACGCGAAGAACCUUACCAGGGCUUGACAUGUCCGGAACCCUGCCCAAAGGUGGGGGUGCCUACGGGAGCCGGGAACACAGGUGGUGC